AUAUUCUUAAAGUGUUUACCUGUUUGUUUGUCACUUUUUCCCCAGUAGAACAGCGUAUAGUAAACUCUGCAGACCACAAUAUUUGUUGACAAGAACGAAUCACUGAACACGUUUAAAUAAAAUAACGCCAUAACGUCACUUCCGAUGUAGACCGGCAUUUCCUGUCAUCUAUUUUUGCGACUUGUCAAAAUGUCGAUCCGUGACAUACGCGGGCGUUUCCAGUAAGUUAAAGUGAAAUAAACAGUAAUUUAGACCACGACUACACUUCGGGAGUUUAUAUAAACGCAGAGAAACAAUGUAUAGAGAAGAACGUAUCCAGUGAUCAUAGUUUGAAGGCUAAUUCACUAAUUGAACUUUGUGUUUUGUUGGAGAAGUUACGGUUUUGAAAGACUGUGUUUAAGAGAAAGAUUGAUAUAAUUGUAAUUGUUAAUCAUAUUUAUGUGACUGGAGUUAAUGAUAAAAGUCAACUAUUGGACGGAAGUGCUGAUAAUUACAAAGAAAACUAUUAGUGAAAAUACUGUCGCGGUCGCCAGAUUGUCGAAUUCAGACGCUGAUUGACAAUUCAGAUGGAAAUAGAAAAGGCAAGGCGAGGAUUGAAUUAUCGGGGGCAGUAACUGUGUAAAACCAUCGUAAAGGCAUGUCAGUAGCUCAGGAUACUUCAUGGCAUAAACUGGGUUUCGGCAGUCUAAAAUCACACACAUUCUUGAUGUCCAAGCAAAAGUAUGGAGGGCAGAUAGUGAAGAAGGUCAUGUCUCAUCGUAUCUGUGAAACAUAUCUGUGAAACGGGCCAGUGGCGGCAAAGAAACCAGACCGGCCAGGUUGCACGUGAACAUGACUGUGUCCACAAGUUUACUGGAGUGUCAGUAGUGAGAAGGGACUCAAGGAGCUUUUUGAAGAGGGCAAGCCUGUUGAGAUUUUAGAUGGUGAUGGAUAUAAUAAUAUAGAAAUUCGCGUGAAAAGGAACAUAAACCUUACUCUACAGAAACGUUUUGAUAAAAAUCAUGUCAAGAACAUUUUCAUAAUGAAGAACUCAGACUGUCAGCCCAGGCGGAGUUCUGCAAAAUUCGACCAUGAAAAUCAUGUUUAUAUUGUGUAUAUAAUAAUAAGUUUAAUGUUAUUAAUCACUAUUCAUUAAUGAAGCUAUUUUCCUUUUAACUGGUAUGAUUGAAUGAUUAAAUAUGCAAUAUGUCUUAAUUUUGAAUUGCUUCAUUUCCCCUGUUACAUGUUAAAGUCAUACUCAUUUUUAUCAAUUUUUGAACAUUUGAACUCCUCAAUAUGCUCACAUGUAAAAAGUUGCAAAUUUAGUAUGGUGUUUCUGGCAAAUGUGGGUACCUAUGAUUGUGAGGCAGGAACUUUUCAUUUUUACUGGUGACGCUUUUUAGUAAUUCAGGCUAAUGUAUAGUUUUAAUUAUUUUUUCCGAAUUUUUCGAUCAUGAACCCUUUUUGAAUUCUUAGGAUUCAUGAAAAGUUCUUCAUUAGUUCUUAAAAAAGGCAAAAAUAUUCAAAUUAAAGUAAUUAAGAACUGAUACGUUUUGAAUUGUGUUGGUUGAUUAACUAAAAUAGAUAAUUUUUAGCAAGAAUGAUGUCUGGCUGAACUUGUGCAAAUAUUGUUGGUUGCCUGAAGUAAAAAAAAAGAAGCUUACAAUUAGAUGAAAUGUACAUGGUUAUCAUGUAUAAAGAAUGUAAAGAUCAAGUAUUUUAAGUAAAAUAAUAAUAAUCUUAAAUUUUACUAACAUUAAUCAGUAUGAAAUAAAGAACUUACAAGAUUAGUA